UCAUUGUGUUAUCAUGCCUGAACCAGCGAAGUCCGCCCCAAAGAAGGGAUCCAAGAAGGCCGUCACGAAGGCCACCGGUAAGGGAGGAAAGAAGCGCAGGAAGUCUAGGAAGGAGAGUUACGCUAUCUACGUAUACAAAGUCUUGAAGCAGGUUCAUCCUGACACCGGGAUCUCCUCCAAGGCGAUGGGCAUCAUGAACUCUUUCGUCAACGACAUCUUCGAGCGCAUCGCCGGUGAGUCGUCUCGUCUCGCUCACUACAACAAGCGCUCCACCAUCACAUCGAGAGAGAUUCAGACCGCCGUGCGUCUGCUGCUGCCCGGUGAACUGGCCAAACACGCCGUGUCUGAGGGGACAAAGGCUGUCACCAAGUACACCAGCUCCAAGUAAAGUGUCAUGAAGCUUUCAGCUGCACCCAAAGGCUCUUUUCAGAGCCACCCAUAUACUCGUUUGAAAGAGUUUAUUCUAUAUAGAUUAAGGGUAAAGUAGAAUUAUUUUGUUUGGCCAAAUAUAGCCAAUACGUGAAAUUUUCAAAACGGCAACUUUCUCCGAAAGGUGAGGAGUUUGGAUGCAAUUAUAAAUUCAUGCAUUUAUUUAUUUUGUGGAAUUUGAAAAUUUUCCACGGCUCACCUGACAAUUUUUCACAGCACAGUAGUUGGGAAACACUGCUCUAAGAAUAAGCAGAGUGUUGUAUUCGGUGGGUCUGAUGAUAAUGAGGUCAUGUCUCUCGCAGCAUCAGACAUGGGAGAAUGGUCCAUGGAGGAUAUUGCAGCCCUUCUCCCCAGCGAGACUGAGGAGUGCACACUGGCCAUUAAUACGAGUUACUCCAUCAUUGCGCGGGUGAUCAAUGAGCUCAGCCUUGAGUGGUCGGCUCCUGUCGAGCCGGAAAUGUUGCGUCUGAUUUAAUGAUUCCUGCACAUUUUCAGCCAUCAAAACACUGUGGUUCGGAAAGCAGUUCAUUCUCCCCUGAGGUUCACACAGAUUACUAUGGGAAAGCCAAACACCCCAAAUGUGGGACGAAACGGCGCGGUGUUACAGAGCUCGCGCAGCGCUGACCUGUCAUCUGCGCAGCUCAAUGGACCGAGCGGCGCGGCCAACUCGACAUCGCAGAGAGGAUGUGUUUUCCAGAUAGCCAAAUUACGUGACCAUUACGUAACGGCAACGUAAUCUGAUUAAGAAACUUUAGUCGUGGCAACGUAAGUGGUUACGUCGUGACAACCGGAAAAGUGAAAUUCCUGGAUUCGUCGUCACAACGUAAUUUUGUGACAUGCCUGUUUGUCGUCGCAACGUCAUGGAUAAAAUAUAUGAAUAAAAAACAAUAUAGUGCUCAAAACAGUAUUAAACAAACAGGUAAACAUUCAAAUAAACAACAAGGAAGCUUAAACGAGGAAUUGUGCAGUUGAAGCUACUCCUCCAUAUCUUCAUUUAGUCGGCCCUGUUAACAAAAUGAAAAGGAACAGGACUAUGUGAACCCGACCAAGUGAAUGUAUUGUGUGCAUGUGCAAUACGCCUACAGAAUGUGACUUGAGGGGUUAUUGACAGCUGUCAUAGGUGGAGGUUUUCCCUUGAAGGGUGAGUUCAGUACAGACUAAAGACACAACCACAUGUCAAGUCAUAUUUAUUUUAGCACUUUUCACAAUACACAAUUUCAAAGCAGCUUUACAGAAAGUUAUAUGAUUUCAGAAAUAUCUUAAAGGAAUAGUUCACCCAAAAAUGAAAAUUGUCAUCAUUUAAUCACCCUUAUGUUAUUUUAAUCCUCUGACUUUCAUUCUUUUGCAGAACACGAGAAGAUAUUUGGAAGAUAUUUUUUUUUUUUUUUUUGUCUAUGCAAUGAAAGUAAAUGCGGUCCAAAAUAACAUGCUGUUUUGGACCCCACUGGCUUUCAUUGUAUGGACAAAAUACAUUUUUGUUUUCCGCAGAAGAGGGAAAGUCAUACAGGUUUAAAAUGACAUUAGGGCAGGUAAAUGAUGACUUAAAGCUAGCUAUUUAUUAUUUCCACUGUUCAGUUUAUCUGUUUAUCUAUACUGUUUAAUUUGUCUAUCUAUCACUGUCUAUCUCUUUUUCAUAAACCGAAAACUGACUCACGUUUGAUAAUUUUGCACACAGUUGUUCCAAUCAGAGGCAACUUUUCCCGCUUCCCCAGUAGGCUGUAAUGGCUCCAGACAAUAUUGGUUGCUACAGCCCACAUGACCCUCCUUACACACUCUCCUGGAUUGGCCCCACCAAUAAGGCUGAGAUGCUCUUUUGGCAUUGAGGCAUCCCUGGAAGACCUUGCCCAUGGUUGUCUCUCCUCUGAAAAGAGACCUCUACUGACAAAGUAGUGGAGCAGGUUUCUUGCAUACUCUGAAUGCCUCUUGACUAGUGUUGGGAAGACUAACAAGCACAUGACCAUGCUGAAGGUCAGGAAAUGAUGAUACAGGUCAUCCCCAAGGAUUCCUUUCAGCAUCAGCUUGCCCGUAUAGAGCACGAAUUGGCGGAAUUCUGUUGCCUUCCACCUCUCCAGCUCACCCAGGCUUUGAGGCAUGCGAGUGAAGAUGGAUGGGAUUUCACUUGGUAGUUGAAGAAGCCAAUUGCUUACCUCGUUUUUGGGUGGUGGAGAGCCUGACUCCUCUUGCUCCACUGGUCCAACUAAGAAGAAGCCUUUUCAUCACCCCCAGGCAUGCCUGAUGCAUAUAAUCAAUUGAGAAGCUUUUGAUCAUAUCAUUGGAUAGCUGGACCAACGGUGUACUGUUGUUUUGAUGCUCGGGCUGAACCUGGCUUCUGAAUGAUGCAUUUGUGCGAAGAGUAAGGCUUUCAGUGUCCUGAAAGGUGACUUUAUUAACCAUUCGCCUUUUUGGUCACAUUUAUCGCAGCCAUAAUAUCCAGAGCACAGCUUUGUGCCGCGGACGAAGGCUUUUGCUGGAGCAUCACAAACGAUGCAGAGAACAUUUACGCUGUAUUUUUUUUCCUUUGCAUUGAAUGCCACUAGACAGGAGGUCUUUGAGGUCUGCUACAACAUCGUCCAAGAAAUGCAGAUCAUUUGGCCGCUUGUUUCCACAAGUUAAUGUUGUAGGGAAAAAUGGGAUUCAGGUGGAUGGCACAGAGGACAGGCCACAUAACUUUCCCUGAGCUCUUAAACAAUGGUAGGCCAUCAAUGUUGAAUGACAGAUUAAUUGUGUCAUGGUCCUGUAGCUCUUCAACAGGGUACUUCUCCAGGCAGUCCAGAAACUUUUGAUGCAAUGGGUAGUGUAAAUAUUCCAAUCCAGAUUUCUGUAUUGUCGCUACAUGCCUAGGUGUUUUCAGCAGAGUACGAGCAGAGGAUGGAAGAUCUGUGUGGCCAUGUUGCUGAAAAAUCUUCAGCAACUGGUCAACAGCAUUGCUUUUCACUUGGAAUUGGAUACCCAGGUUGCUCUAUGAAUUAAGAGUUUUACAAUGACAUUUACAAUACAAUGACAAAUGCUUAAUGCUUAAUGUAUUUUUAAAUUAGUUUUAUACAAAUUCCUUUACUUUUUCAUUUUCUAUAGACUGCUGUAUUAUGUACUUGCUUUUUCUCUACACAUUGUUACUGAUGCAAAUACAAAUAAUGUUUGCAGCUGCGGCUUUGCAGUUACGUUUUCUGAUGAUUUUUUGUAGCAAGAAACAUUUAAAUCGGAAGUAUUUCAUUACUUUAUAAUACAUAUUUUUCCAGUGAGCGAUGGUAUUUUUUUAAAAUUUAUUAUUUUUUAUUUAUUUUUUUAGGAGGGUUCCUAAAAGCCUAAUAUUUAAACUUGUAUUCUAGUCUCCAGUUAAUGACAUCACGGCACAUGCACGAGCCCGAAUGCGCAAGAACUCCUUGGAAUGACCAAACGCAGCUACGAAACAGAAGCAUGCUUAUGCUUGUGACAGUAGUAGUAAAAUAAACGAGAACUCUUGAUUGUACAGUCUUGUGUCGUUCUUACAGGUUGCGGAUGUUGUGCAAGCGCUUGGUGUUUUGACUGCUGAUGAGACUGAAGCAGACUGGAGAUGUUGAGAUCUUUAAACACACGGCUGGUCAAACCUAUGCUGGAACCUGGAGUUGAACUGACUGGAACAGUACUCUUCAUGCUUUUUAAAGACAGACUCAUCUAUGCACGACCUUCUGUUGACUUGUCUCAGCCUGAUCAGAACUUAUCACAGGUCCAAACUUCAGCUGAAGCAACAUCACUUGCCCAGACUACUGCUGCUUGUCCAACACAUGCCCAGCCACCAUCAUCACCAGAGAGAUCAGCAACAUCCUCAGUCCAGACAGUGGAUACAGUCACAUUCCAGCUCCAAGAAACAACAACACCUCUGCUGUUUCAUGCAACAACUAGUAUGCCAUUGGAAAUUCGACCAAUUUCUACACCUCAGCCACUGUCCGAGGAUGCAGCUGUUGCCACACUAUAGAUCCACUCUACAACCACAACCUCAUCACUGGAACAAAGCACACCACAGUGCUCUCAUAGUACAACAGUCAUCACUGGUCCCACUGACAUCUACCUGUACACUUUUGAUCCAGGGAGGAAUUCAUGGUUCUAACAGACACAGAGGAAGAAGAACCUGUUAUGUUAUGAAUGUUAUGAUACACCAAUUCAGACACUAAGCAGAAGAUUUGGCUGACAUUCUGACAUCAUUCCAGAAAGACCAUCUUGACACACAAAAUUGUGCCACUGUUGCUGCAAGACGGUCAAAAAUUCUCCACAGUGCCUGUCAAGCUCUGUCAAAGACCUAUUUUGCUUGGCACAGAACUCCACGAAUUGAGUUUGUUGGAGAGUCUGCUGAAGAUCAUGGUGGGCCACAAAGAGAGUUUUUUAGAUCCAGCAGUGCAGAAGUGUGGAAGACCUAAUUUCACUGAAGGCUUCUCUUGGUGACUGGAUUGCAGAAUGUGGGGUUCCCUGGAUCUACAGUGCUGGUCUUCCUGAAAUGCCCAGAGUUUACAGCCUGGUCAUUAAACACUUCAUUUAUCUUGGGCCUGCUAGCAUGAUUUUGCAGUUUAAGGCAGGGAUGAAUUCAUGUGGAUCCCUUUGGCAGAUAGUGUAAAACAACUGGAUGGCCUUCAAGCCUCUGUUCACUAACACACAGAAGCCACUGUCAAGAAGUGAGUUAAAAGACCUUCUUUUUGUGAACUGGAGUGAUGAAGGCAGCAACCACAGACAGACUGAAGAGGAGACCAUCUUUGCUUGGGAAUGUUUACUCAACAGUAUUCAGGGUAGGUGAUAUAUACACCGAUGAGCCAAAACAUUAUGACCACCAAUAUGCUGUUGGUCCUUCGCGUGCUGCCAAAACAGUGCCGUCCCGCCAAGGCAUGGACUCUGCAAGACCCCUGAAGGUGUCCUGUGGUAUCUGGCACCAAGACAUUAGCAGCAGAUCCUUCAAGUCCUGUAGGUUGCGAGGUGGAGCCGCCGUGGAUCGAAUGUGUUGGUCCAGCACAUCCCACAGAUGCUCAAUUGGUUUGAGAUUUGGAGGCCAGGGCAACACCUAGAACUCUUCAUCAUGUUCCUCAAACCAUUCCUGAACAGCGUGUGCAGUGUGGCAGGGUGCAUUAUCCUGCUGAAAGAGGCCACUUCCACCAGGGAACACCAUUGUCAUGAAGUGGUGUACCUGGUCUGCAACAAUGUUUAGGUAAGUAGCACGUGUCAAAUUUAGGUCCACAUGAAUGGCCGGACCCAGGGUUUCCCAGCAGAACAUCGCCCAGAGCAUUAUACUCCCUCCGCCGGCUUGUCGUCGUCCCACAGUGCAUCCUGGUGCCAUCACUUCCCUAGGUAUACGGCACACAUGUACACAGCCGUCCACGUGAUGUAAAACAAAACAGGACUCAUCGGACCAGGCGACCUUCUUCCACUGCUCCAAGGUCCAGUUCCGAUGCUCGCACACCCAUUGUAGGCGUUUUGACGGUGGACAGGGGUCAUCAUAGGCACUCAGAUUGGUCUGCGGCUAUGCGAUGUGUUGUGACACAUUCCUCCCAUAAUGAUCAUUAAAAUUUUGUGUGACUUGUGCCACAGUAGACCUUCUGUCUGCUCGGACCAGAUGGGAUAACCUUUGUUGCCCUCGUGCAUCGAUGAGCCUUGGGCGCCCAACACCCUGUUGCUAGUUUGUGGUUUGUCCCUCCUUGGACCACUGUUGGUAAAUUCCCACCACUGCUGACCAGGAGCAACCCACAAGCUUUGUCGUUUCAGAGAUACUCUGACCCAUUCGCCUUGCCAUAACAAUUUGGCCCUUGUCAAAGUUGCUCAGAUCUUUAUUCCUGCCCAUUUCUCCUGCAUUCAACAUGUUGAUUACGAGAACUGAUUGUUUGCUUACCAUCUAAUCUAUCCAGGCCUUAAUAUGUGGCCUUGUUAGGAGAUGAUAAACGAUAUUCGCUUCACAUGUGACUGGUCAUAAUGUUUUGGCUCAUCAGUGUAAUUCAUGUAUUUUGAUUAAUAAUGCUGGUUGGUUUAUGAGGUUUAUUUGUUGUUGUUUCACUUGAUGUUCUAUAAUGGGCUUAAGAGAAAAAGAGUCUUCUCUGACUUUUGAGGAUCUUCUGAUAUUCAUGUCCAGUGCUGAUUCUACUCCUCCUCUGGGUUUUCCCAAAAAGGCUGAGAUUGACUUCUACACACAAGAGGAUGGAUGCCGGAGACUCCCUUUUGCAUCAACUUGUUCAAUGGUGCUUUUCUUACCAAGAGGUUUACAUGAUGAAACAGAAUUAGAGAACAUGCUGACAGAUGCAGUUAAAGGAUCAGUUGGGUUUGGGAAAAUUUAGAUUUGGUAUCCAUAUUCAUAAUCUUGCUCUUGAUCAUGUUCUUGAUCAAGUUCUUCUUGUUUUCCCAAAUGUUCUAUAUAUUACACUAUAGACAUAUUUGUCUGCAGGCUAUAGUUCACUUCUAACUGAAAUUGUUUCAUACUUCGUAGUUUUUGCUGUGCCAGCCAACAGUUCAAAAUUAAAGUUGUAAUGACUCUUUGUUCAGGUGAAAAAAAGGACUAAUUUUGUCUGCAAGUACAAAAAACAGCAUUUUAAUAAUUGUUUACUGUUAACAAUUUACAGACGAUAUACUUUUACAACAAAUGUUACCGUUUUAAGGAUUAACUUGAAUCUCAAAAAAAGGAUAAAAUGUGGUCUUAUGGAUU